GAUGAACGCUGGCGGCGUGCCUAAUGCAUGCAAGUCGAGCGAACAGACGAGGAGCUUACUCCUCUGACGUUAGCGGCGGACGGGUGAGUAACACGUGGAUAACCUACCUAUAAGACUGGGAUAACUUCGGGAAACCGGAGCUAAUACCGGAUAACAUGUUGAACCGCAUGGUUCAACAGUGAAAGACGGUCUUGCUGUCACUUAUAGAUGGAUCCGCGUCGCAUUAGCUAGUUGGUAAGGUAACGGCUUACCAAGGCAACGAUGCGUAGCCGACCUGAGAGGGUGAUCGGCCACACUGGAACUGAGACACGGUCCAGACUCCUACGGGAGGCAGCAGUAGGGAAUCUUCCGCAAUGGGCGAAAGCCUGACGGAGCAACGCCGCGUGAGUGAAGAAGGUCUUCGGAUCGUAAAACUCUGUUAUUAGGGAAGAACAAAUGUGUAAGUAACUAUGCACGUCUUGACGGUACCUAAUCAGAAAGCCACGGCUAACUACGUG
rnacentral:rRNA from 1 species